rnacentral:sRNA from 1 species
AUAUUCAGAGCCUCAGAACCACGUGCAGCGUCUGUUUCUGCAGUGCGAGCUGUUUAAUGCCCUGUUAAGUACUGCAGAUGUCUGGAGUGCCGUGCAUCUUGGCAUUCAGGGGUGACGUCUUUUUUUAUUCGAGAGGGCAAAGCAGAGGGUAUGGGUUAGGCAGUGCCUUCUGGGAGGGGCCUUUUGUUCCUUCUCCACAUCUCUCCCUGAUAAGGGUAGCUGGAUUCCUUUCUACAACUUGGCUUCCUUGUGGCCUGAGCUGUUUGUAGUCCUUGCUGAAAAUGGCUCCGAUUCCAUUUAACAAAUGAGAAACACUUCUUGUCCAGAUGCCUCCAUGGUCCCCAGUCUUCCUUCUGUGUCAUUUCACUUCUCCUCUUCCAGAGGGCGGAGGCCCUCCUCAAUACAGGGAAACACCUUGGUCAUCAGAUCUUGUCAUGCUUGCCUUUGCCCCAAAACUAUCUCGACCACUUGGUGGACUUUCAGUGGGAUCCUUGUAAACUGUCAAAGGAAACCACUUCAUCCUCACAGCUGCCAGUUUUUAAGCCUCGUGAACUCAGAUCUGGAUGGUCCUUCUGUCAUUUAUAAUCAAUCAUCACUCAGUAUUCCUGCAGCAACUUCAGGGCCUCUGGUCUUGAAGCAGACCCUGCAGAGCAAUCAAUCAAACGCUGAGCGCCUGGAGGGCUUAACCUCGCUCAGUUUCCUGUUCUUCAGUCUCCCUAACCCAGGUCUACCCGGUCCUAUGCAGUUAUAUUCCUUACCAUACACUGACAGCGUCCAGCUGGGGGCCCGGUGCAGUAAGCUGCACAGUAGAGAUGCUGGGAUGGUUUUAAAUUCCUGAUGCCCAGGAAAUUCCCAGCUUAAUUAAAUCAGAAAUGCUGCAGUGGGGGCCAGACACCGUUUCACGUUCCCAGGUGACUCCAGUAUGCAGCCAGACUCGAGCCACUGCAAUAGACCCAUUUUCCUGUUGAAAAAUCAUGCUCCCCCCAGUGUUAGUAAAUGUCCUUCAGACCCUGUGGAGUGGCCUUCUUUAAACCACGACAAUGGACUGGCCUUUAUGUCCAAAGGAGACAAUGCUAGCUUGGCUUCAGCCCUAGUGAACACAGUGAACACAGGAAGCAGGCAGUUUAAUCCAUCCGUGGUCCUUCCUCUGCCUCCCAAUUAACUAAGUGUGCCUUUGCAGUCAACUCUGACGUCGUUGGCUGAUAGGCAGGCAAGGGAGGGAAGUACAAGGCAAGUUUACAAUCCUGAUUCAAACCAGCCCACUAUCCCGAAACCAGCACACAGAGCCGGCAUCACCAUGGAAACGCAUUUCCUCACAGUGGAGCAAGAUGCCAGUAGAGGCAGCGAGUGUGUUUGUGAAGACAGCCAUAGCCAGGGGCAGGGUUUCCCUUUGCAGGAGCAGGAGUGGCAGGAGCGGGGAGGCAGGAAGCUCUCUGGGUUCCUGGGGGCUUUGGAGUCCAUUCUAACAGUCUCACAUGAGGCUGGGCAUUUUGGUGCUGCCAAGUCUUGGUACCAGAGGAUGAUCUUCUGCUGCCAUUAGCAGCCAGGGUUGGCAGAAAAUCAAAUUUGGAGUCCCCAAGUGUGACUUCAGUCCUCACUGAGAAGUGCACAGCUGGUGUGGGGGGCUUAACAAGAGCACUUUGCUUUCUGGGGAUUUCUGCUUGGGCAUAAAAGCCAUUUGCCAAUGCUUGCAGAAAACACAGAACAAAGAAUGCAAGUACAGCAGCAACACAGCCAGGAGGGCAGCCCCAGAAUUGGGAGGCCAACAGUGCUACUGGGCUCAAGUGCUGUUAUAAGGAGAAGUGUGGCUGUACACGAUGCUCUGUGUGUUGAAGUGCUGAAGACCUCGGCUGGGCUGGGACUGAGUCUGGAUGGGGGAAAAUCAUCGGUGACAGGAGAUGGGCCCUUGGUCAUUAAAAGAGUGUACAAAGGUGGUGCGGCUGAACAAGCUGGAAUAAUAGAAGCUGGAGAUGAAAUUCUUGCUAUUAAUGGGAAACCUCUGGUUGGGCUCAUGCACUUUGAUGCCUGGAAUAUUAUGAAGUCUGUCCCAGAAGGACCUGUGCAGUUAUUAAUUAGAAAGCAUAGGAAUUCUUCAUGAAUUUUAACAAGAAUCAUUUUCUCAGUUCUCUUCUUUCUUUAGCAAAUCAGAGUGACUUCUUUAAAUCACAGGUUGUUGAAAUGGCCAACACUGGUACAGACACGGACUGUAAAAAUCUCCAAGCUUGUGCUUACACAUGAAGCCUGACUUAACUGUAUGUGCAACAGCAAUGAAAUUAACUCCAGAAGCCUUCCACCUGCGUCACCCAGGCCGGGAGGGUUCCUUCGUUCCAGUGCCUGUCCCCUACCUUUAUGUUUACUGAUGGGGAUACAAGAUGUGACACACCCUUCUUUAUUUGAAACAAACACUUAGCUAGACCUUUGCUUCCUUCUUGCCAGCUCUCCCAACAUACCCAAUCCUGGUGAUCAGGGAACUAAAAGUCUGAGGGGGACACAAAUGUCACACCUAAGAGGACUAUCAAUCAUUUUGUAUGAUUUUGUAAGUAAGUAAAUGACAGAAUGCUUUUAGGCACAUUCAAUGGAAGGAGGCGAUGUAGGUCUGUAUAUGUUACCCUGAAAAGAGAAUAAGACUUAAAAAAAAUGAAUUAUGACCUGUUAGGCUGAGCUCAGGAAUUGUCCAAAAAGGAAAAAGCAAAAUAAUUAUUAAUAGAGAGUAUUUUUUAGUGAGUGUAAUGUAUAAUGUACGUAUGCAAAGUUCAACUCAAUAGGUUAUUGAUCACCAUGAAGUAUUGAUCAUUUUCUAUCUCAAAAGUGUAAGCCAUAAGGCUGUUUUACAGAAUAGCACUUCUGAUAAGCUGUAUUAAACAGCCAUGAGCUUCACUGCUUAGAGGGAGCAGAAAGGUCAACAUCUAAAAGCACCUUACAACUAGUUUUUGAACCUGUCUUGAUAAGUGCUUGAAUUCAAGACUGGUCAGUACAAGAGCAGACAAAAAUAUCACAAGUCAGUCACUGGGUUUCCAUUUCUGAAUUUUAUGCACUCCAACCAUGAAUUUAAACUAAAUUUUUAGAAAUCAAGUAUCUUUCUAAGUGUCCUUGGAUUUAUAGACAAUGUAUGUACAAUCCAAAUAGAGGAGCUUAAUGGAAUCCUUUUAGGAGACUGGUUGGUUUUUUUCCCUCUUUCCCAACAUGUUUAAGAAAUGUAACAUUCUAUAAGUAUUGGAUCUCUUUUCUUGACCUAGUAUAAUGACAACUGCAGUGACUUUAAGUUUUUGCUGUUUUCGUUUUCCCGCUUUGCAAUUUCCUCCUUUUGCCAAAAAUGUUUUCCUACAGAAGACUGUCGUGACUCACGCUACUUGGGAAACUCACUCUGGCCACUCCUCCUCUGGUGGCAUGAGCUGCUUCCCAGUAGCUAUUCCGAUUGGAUAUUCCGUUCGUCGUCACAUAGCUGGCUUUUCUCUCCUCAUGAUGUACCUUAUUUUCUUUUCUUAGGUAAAUUCCAAACUCUCAUCGGGUCAUAAAGAGGAGGAGAAACAGGGUGAGUCAAGGUAAAGGAGCAGAAAUGUAGUUACAAGCCAGGUCGUCUUCAGUGGCACAAACCAACCCGUUGAGCCCUGACAACAUGAGUGGAGAGUGCAUUUGCCAUACCUGUGUGCAUGACACUAAGAUUUUAUGUUGGAGAUACUUCUUUAAAUAACCUACAGCUUGGGUCUAUGGCUGUGACCCCCAGAUUCAUGGAGGGGCUUUAGCCAUCAGCUUCGUACAUCAUUUUUCUGAAUGACCAAUCCCACUAAACAUCUUUGAAGUCGGCCUAGAGAGGUCCUUCAGAUGAGAGAGAAAUAGCUGGCUUGUCUGAGUCCAGAUUUCUCAUCAACUGGCAAUACAAAGGAAAAUAUAGUACAGGAGUUAGUUAGUUAGAAAGGUCUUAUUGAUUUUACUUCUACUUUUCACUACAAUUACAGGUAGAAUACUGUAGGAAGUCAGUGCAAGGUGCAUGCUUGAUUGAUUGAUUGUUUUUCAGUCUCUGGGGUCAGUUUUGUGGUUUCUGCUUUCUUGCCUAAAUCAAAGACUAUUUCAAGUCAACACUGAAAACUGCUUUUCGCCUCCACUCUUACAGCUGUGCCUAAUAAUAAUUAAUAAACAUAAUAAUUAAUAAACGCACAGCCCUAUGUGAACAGGCAGGAAUUUCUUGUGCAAUGUGGAGCAAAUGGAAUGGUCUCCUUCCGCAAGUCUUUAAUCCUCAUAUCUGGAGUACAAGGGUAGACCUCUGGCUUACCACAUACACUAUGCUAAAGUCAUCAGCCACUGCUACUACAUCUUGCCAGAAGGUUUCCCUCGCCAACAGUUGAAAUUUAAGGGAAGAAGCAAAAGCUAAACUGUCUUUGACCCUAAGAUAGAUAGAAAGCUAUUUAUUUGUCUUCAGUGUUCAAGGCAUGACUAGUAUUUCUAAUUAGCCUAAUAAAUUCCCACACUUUCUGAAGUGAACACUAAUGGUAUUGUCCUACUAAAACUGUCAUUGUUUCUUUUUUUUUAACUGGUCAGUCAUUCACAAUAAGCUAUGAGGGUAAAUAUGUGUUAUAACAAGUAAAUCGUAGUUGCAAGAAUAUACCAUGAAGAUUAAAGUAGGCUGGGUUUCAUUUCCAUCUUCCCACACAUCUCAUUGAAUUUGAUGGUUGACUUAAUUGGCACCAUAACUUUGUAUGAUAUUAUACAUUAUCCUUUAUUUAUGUAAAGUAAAAUGCCUUAUAUAUUAAAGAGUAAGUGCAAUAAUAUGAAAUAGCCUGUACAUUUUAAAAAUGUUGUCACCAAGUUAUAUAAAUCCACAUCUCUGUAAACAACCUUUUUUAAGUAAUUUUAAAAAAAUAAACACUCUGCUUACU